rnacentral:rRNA from 1 species
AGUGAACGCUGGCGGUAGGCCUAACACAUGCAAGUCGAACGGCAGCACAGUAAGAGCUUGCUCUUACGGUUGGCGAGUGGCGGACGGGUGAGGAAUACAUCGGAAUCUACUUUUUCUUGGGGGAUAACGUAGGGAAACUUACGCUAAUACCUCAUACGACCUACGGGUGAAAGCAGGGGAUCUUCGGACCUUGCGCGAUUGAAUGAGCCGAUGUCGGAUUAGCUAGUCGGCGGGGUAAAGUCCCACCAAGGCGACGAUCCGUAGCUAGUCUGAAAGGAUGAUAGCCCCUCCUGGAACUGAGAAAGGUUCUAGAUUCUUACGGGAGGCAGAAGUGGGGAAUAUUGGAAAAUGGGCGAAAGCCUGAGCAAGCAAUACGGCGUGGGUUAAGAAGGCUUUCGAGUUGUAAAGCCCUUUUGUUGGGAAAGAAAAGCAGGAGGUUAAUAACGCGCUGUUCGAAAGGAACUCAAAGAAGAAGCACGGGUGAACUUCGU